GUCUAUGGCCAUACCACCGUGAACAUACCUGUUCUCAUCUGAUCUCAGAAGCUAAGCAGGGUUGGGCUUGGUUAGUGCUUAGAUGGGAGAAAAUGUCUUUGAGCUCCUAGUUGCUCAUAGUCC
rnacentral:rRNA from 1 species